AUUGAACGCUAGCGGCAUGCUUUACACAUGCAAGUCGAACGGCAGCGCGGGGCAACCUGGCGGCGAGUGGCGAACGGGUGAGUAAUAUAUCGGAACGUACCCAGGAGUGGGGGAUAACGUAGCGAAAGUUACGCUAAUACCGCAUACGACCUAAGGGUGAAAGUGGGGGAUCGCAAGACCUCAUGCUCAUGGAGCGGCCGAUAUCUGAUUAGCUAGUUGGUGGGGUAAAGGCUCACCAAGGCAACGAUCAGUAGCUCGUCUGAGAGGACGACCAGCCACACUGGAACUGAGACACGGUCCAGACUCCUACGGGAGGCAGCAGUGGGGAAUUUUUGGACAAUGGGCGCAAGCCUGAUCCAGCAAUGCCGCGUGCAGGAUGAAGGCC
rnacentral:rRNA from 1 species